GUGAGCCCAGCCUGGGGAUCUCUCACCUCUUGCUGAGAUGCGCCCAGAGCCUAUCAAAUCCAGCCAUCACAUCUUUACUGAAGAUAGGAAUAUGAGGGAAAGGGGCAGUGUCAGGGAUAGCUGAUCCCUUUCAUCAAGAAAGCAAAAGUUUCCCAAAAGGCCCAGCAGAUUUCUGCUUGUAUCUCAUCAGCCAAAACUUCAUCACAAAGCAACUCCUGCUAAAGGAAGCUGAGAAAGUGAUGGAGUCUCCCCCAGUUUGCAGGCUUCAGUGAGGACAACGAGGAGCCCACAGUCAACCCGCAGGGACAUACAUCACGCGAAAGAAAAAUGUCUUUGUGAUUUUAAGCCACUAAGAUUUCGGGGUUGUUGAGCAACAUAACCUAGCUCAUCCUGACCAUCCACCAUCUCUCCAAGCAAGACAUCCCGUCAUCGUCCCUGAUUUACUUGUGAAGAAACUGAGGUCUUCAAAAUCGUUGUGGGCCUUUUCACCUCGGAGAUUCACAUUCUUCGGUUCUGCAAGAUUUUCUUCUUUCCCCAUGAGUGUACUUCACUGGACUGGAAGCUUUGUGGAGGCAGGGGCCAGACAGAUCUUGCUCCUCAUUCAUUUAUGGUGCCUAGUGUAGUGUAGUACUUGGAGCCCAAUGUCUAUGUGAAUGAAUGAAUGAAUGAAUGCAGGAGAAGAACAUGUACACUUUGGG
rnacentral:lncRNA from 1 species